GAACGCUGGCGGCGUGUUAACACAUGCAAGUCGAACGGUGAAGGAUGGCUUUUGUUGGUUCUGGAUGAGUGGCGAACGGGUGAGUAACACGUGAGUAACUGCCCCCUUCUUCUGGAUAACCGCAUGAAAGUGUGGUAAUACGGGAUAUUCUGGGUCUGUCGCAUGGCGGGCCCGGGAAAGAUAUUGCUUCGGUGGGGGAUGGGCUCGCGGCUAUCAGCUUGUUGGUGGGGUGAUGGCCUACCAAGGCGGUGACGGGUAGCCGGCCUGAGAGGGUGGACGGUCACACUGGGAUGAGACACGGCCCAGACUCCUACGGGAGGCAGCAGUGGGGAAUAUUGCACAAUGGGCGCAAGCCUGAUGCAGCGACGCCGGUGAGGGAUGGAGGCCUUCGGGUUGUAAACCUCUUUCGCCAGUGAAGCAGGCCUGCUCCUUGUGGUGGUUGACGUAGCUUGAUAAGAAGCGCCGC
rnacentral:rRNA from 1 species